rnacentral:rRNA from 1 species
AGCGAACGCUGGCGGCAGGCUUAACACAUGCAAGUCGAACGGGCGUAGCAAUACGUCAGUGGCAGACGGGUGAGUAACGCGUGGGAACGUACCUUUUGGUUCGGAACAACACAGGGAAACUUGUGCUAAUACCGGAUAAGCCCUUACGGGGAAAGAUUUAUCGCCGAAAGAUCGGCCCGCGUCUGAUUAGCUAGUUGGUGAGGUAACGGCUCACCAAGGCGACGAUCAGUAGCUGGUCUGAGAGGAUGAUCAGCCACAUUGGGACUGAGACACGGCCCAAACUCCUACGGGAGGCAGCAGUGGGGAAUAUUGGACAAUGGGCGCAAGCCUGACCCAGCCAUGCCGCGUGAGUGAUGAAGGCCCUAGGGUUGUAAAGCUCUUUUGUGCGGGAAGAUAAUGACGGUACCGCAAGAAUAAGCCCCGGCUAACUUCGUG